UUGAGUGGCCCGGUGAGUUUGAUUAGAAUAAUAUAAUAGUCAUGUACAAACUUCCUCCAGGAAACUUUGAUAUCCUUUUAACUCAGGAUGUAAAAUGAACAACUUCAAUGUUGUCACCAUGGGCCAACCUAAAGAAAAACGGGACAUGGAUGUAGGCCAAAUAGGUUUCCAUCGGCACGAGGAGGUCAUUGAUUACUCUCUUCUGGCAAAAUGUAUCUGUGUAACUUUCGGAUCUAUUUGGCUACUUUUAUAGGUCUCAGCUUUCAUUGUCAAUAUAUUUUUAGUUUCUAUUGGUGUUCUAUUUGAGUAAUAUCUAUGAAAUGAUCAUUUAGACUAUGUCUACUGUUUUGUAGAUGAAGAUUGUGGCAGUAGAGAGGAAGAUGAAUGAGAUUGUGGCAGUAGAGAGGAAGAUGAAUGAGAUUGUGAACAGGUUGGAGAAAACAAAGGACGAGCGAUACCCUGAUCUGGCAGCAGAGAAAGAGUCUCGAGAUACGGAAGAGAGAAAUGAGAAGAAGGCCCAGAUGCAAGAUCUGAAAAAGAAAGAUAAAGAUGGCAUAAAAAAGAAAAGAGAGCUGGAUGAGCUCAAGAUGGAAAUGAUUCGGAUGACUUCAUGUAAAAGGACAAUAUCGGACAUACUCCACCACCUGCAAGUAAACAUUGUUGGGUUGGGCCCUCACUGUUAUACCGGACAGUGCUUUGACAUUGUAUAUAGAUCGAUACUGUAUUUUUGGAACAGUACGUGUGCCAAUUUUGCUAAAAUUUCAGGACUCUCUGAACAGCCUGGUUUCCCGACGCUUCUUGAAUUUCAAAGGAUGACAUUCCAACAGCAUUGAUCUCUUGCACUGAAUAUCCUCUGCUUGACCGACAAGAGGGUAAUAACAACCCCCGAUUCCUCAGAAAACUGCUGCCAACGAUUUAGUCUUGGGACGGCUAUACCUUACAGGCUCUAUGAUCCAGUUCGGUAUUGUUGCAUGUUGACCUAAUGAUAUGAAUUAAUAUAUGAUUUCCUGACCAGUAUGUCUAUGGGUGAAAUUAAAUGAGUAUGUGCAUUUUUUAUAAUCAUUUACCUGGCCAAUGCUGCAGACGUUGUCCUGGCCAGAGACUGGAACAUGUGAAUUGUGUCCUCGUGAAUCCAUGCAUAAGGUUUGUCUUGGAUGUUUCUUUGAAAUCAUUGAAAGAUUGCUGACAUUGUGAAUAAAAAUCACCUUGUUUAUCAGCUCAAAGUUACAUUUUAAACAAAAACUGAACUGCCCAUAAGGUAUGUUAAUUGCCCAGUUCAUUAUUGAGACAAUAUGUUGACAUAGCUUUGCUAAUGAAGUGGGAUGUGUAAUGAAUGGUUUGUGCUUGUUGAAAGUUGAGAGAAUGGGUACCACCAGCUUUCUCCUUCCUGGGUGAUCAGAGCUGGGAUUGAAUUGACACAUGCUGGUUUUUCAGUAUAAAGCGUGACAUCUCUAUUUCUCAAUGCUGUGUGUGGAUGCAGCUGUGGUUGACCUCUGGUCCAUAUCACACAGACUGAAACGCAUGGAGCAGGUUGAGGGACGAGGGGUGUGUCCCAAUUAAUUAUUCUGGAGGACUUGCAUUUAAUUUGACAUCUGCGUAAACAAUUUCACUCCAAACAACCUCUAAAAGCAGAAUAAAAGGCCUUUGUUUCAAUCUGCAUGUGAUUUGCUUGCCACUACAUGAAUAAGACUGGGUUAUUCUCAGUGACAGGAUGUCAUAUGUAACUAUAGGCCCCGGUCUGUGUUUAUCAACCAACUGUUGACUAUGCUUAUGUCACAUGCCAGUAUUAUUUCAAGGACUGGAACAUAGUGUACAAAUGUCCUGUUUUCCAUGAAGGUUGUUUCAUGGAUGAGGCAUUUAGAUAUGUUUCAAGUUAUGAACUGUUGAAUAAAGGCAUGCUGUUGAAGUUA